UGGGGAAUAUUGCACAAUGGGGGGAACCCUGAUGCAGCGACGCCGCGUGAGUGAAGAAGUAUUUCGGUAUGUAAAGCUCUAUCAGCAGGGACGAAGAUGACGGUACCUGCAGAAGAAGCCCCGGCUAACUACGUGCCAGCAGCCGCGGUAAUACGUAGGGGGCAAGCGUUAUCCGGAUUUACUGGGUGUAAAGGGAGCGUAGACGGCAGGGCAAGCCAGAAGUGAAAACGCAGAGCUUAACUUUGCGACUGCUUUUGGAACUGCCCAGCUAGAGUACAGGAGAGGUAAGUGGAAUUCCUAGUG
rnacentral:rRNA from 1 species